GUUUCCAACCAAGACGUAUGGGUGCAUACAUAUUUAGGGUUUAUUCCACGCAGCUAUAAAUACAUAACUCUUCCCAGUCUCUUCCGUUCUUUCUCCAUCGUUAGGGUAUCGAAAACAAAUCGUCGCCGAAUUUACUCUCUGUUUCACGAUGAGGGCUAAGUGGAAGAAGAAGAGGAUGAGGAGAUUGAAGAGGAAGAGACGAAAGAUGAGACAAAGAUCUAAGUAGUCAUUGAAGGAGGAAACAGGUCUAGGUCGAAAUCAGUGGCGGAGGAGGAAUAGUUAGUAUAAAGCUUUUGUUUCUGUUUUUAGGGUUUUAUGAAGACUCAUUUUAUCUUUUCUGUUUGUUAGGAAAGAUAAAUUGUUACUCUUGAAUGUUGUUUUUCAGAUAUGAAUGAAUUUCGUUUAUCAGAUUAUUUCAGCGUUUUCAGAUU